CGAGAAUUAGUGUUUUUAGGCACAAUUUCAUGAAAGUGUGGUUUUUACAACCCUAACUUUAAAUGUUGAUGUUUUUUGCAAUUAACUCCGUUACAGAGCUCUCACCUUCUUUGCAUAUGUGUGCUUUUCUCUUGUGCUCAGCUUCUGCCUCUUGUAACACACACGCACACGCACACGCACACGCACACAUGCACGUUUGGAGUUGAAUUGCCCUUUGUUUGGGAACAAGACCCACCAAGAACCUACUAGCUAGACGGUGUUCUCGAGUUGUGCUGCCAGAACCUACACUUCCCUCAGGCGCUGCUUCAUCAUCUCCAUCCAGUAGUGGUGCCUACGAGUAUCCAACAAUUUGCCCAGAAUUUCGUAGCUGGGUAG
rnacentral:lncRNA from 1 species